CUGCUCCUCUACCUAGCUCUAGGGGAUCCCCCCCUCUGCUCCUCUACCUAGCUCUAGGGGAUCCCCCCCUCUGCUCCUCUACCUAGCUCUAGGGGAUCCCCCCCUCUGCUCCUCUACCUAGCUCUAGGGGAUCCCCCCCUCUGCUCCUCUACCUAGCUCUAGGGGAUCCCCCCCUCUGCUCCUCUACCUAGCUCUAGGGGAUCCCCCCCUCUGCUCCUCUACCUAGCUCUAGGGGAUCCCCCCCUCUGCUCCUCUACCUAGCUCUAGGGGAUCCCCCCCUCUGCUCCUCUACGUAGCUCUAGGGGAUCCCCCCCACAGUGAAACCUCCGUCAUUCUCUACAACCUAUCAACUACCUGGACCCCAGUGGAGGCUGGUGGAAGGAGCUAUAGGAGGACGGGCUCAUUGGAAUGGCUGGAAUGGAAUAAAUGGAAUGGAAUGGCUGAAAUGGAAUAAAUGGAAUGGAAUGGCUGGAAUGGAAUAAAUGGAAUGGAAUGGCUGGAAUGGAAUAAAUGGAAUGGAAUGGCUGGAAUGGAAUAAAUGGAAUGGAAUAAAUGGAAUGGUAUGGCUGGAAUGGAAUAAAUGGAAUGGAAUGGCUGGAAUGGAAUAAAUGGAAUGGAAUAAAUGGAAUGGAAUAAAUGGAAUGGUGUCAAACAUAUCAAACCUAUGGAAACAACAUGUUUGACUCUGUUUCAUUUAAUCCAUUCCUGGACAUUACAACGAGCCCGUCCUCCUAUAGCUCCUCCCGCCAAACCUCCACUGCUGGGCACAGAGGAACCACAAUGCCUAUCGAGGUGGGACCAGACAGACACUGGGAACAGGAAAAGACACACAUCCACAGGAAGUCCUGCGAUAACCAACGACAGAUCAGAUGUGUGAUAUCAGGAUCCAUGGAUUUUCUCUAAACGAAUCGAUACAAGCAGUUUAGUUGAAUAUUCUGAGGACGGAGCACCCCUUCAGCGAUCCGAAGGACGGAGCACCCCUUCAGCGAUCUGAGGACGGAGCACCCCUUCAGCGAUCCGAAGGACAGAGCACCCCUUCAGCGAUCUGAGGACGGAGCACCCCUUCAGCGAUCUGAGGACGGAGCACCCCUUCAGCGAUCUGAGGACGGAGCACCCCUUCAGCAUUCCGAAGGACGGAGCACCCCUUCAUCGAUCUGAGGACGGAGCACCCCUUCAGCGAUCUGAGGACGGAGCACCCCUUCAGCGAUCCGAAGGACAGAGCACCCCUUCAGCGAUCUGAGGACGGAGCACCCCUUCAGCGAUCUGAGGACGGAGCACCCCUUCAGCGAUUUGAAGGACGGAGCACCCCUUCAGCUAUCCGAAGGACGGAGCACCCCUUCAGCUAUCCGAAGGACGGAGCACCCCUUCAGCGAUCUGAGGACGGAGCACCCCUUCAGCGAUCUGAGGACGGAGCGAUCUGAGGACGGAGCACGCCUUCACGAAUUCGAGUACAGAGCACCCCUGCAGGGAGUGUUGAGCUCCCUUGCUUAUUAAUGCAAUUACCCUCCUAUCCCGGGUCCUCUCUGAUUCUCUUCCUUUGCCACUCCCCCCUCACUCACAGACUGGUGUAGACGACUCCCCUAUACCCCUACUGUCCCGUCAGCAGAAUCUGUCCCAGUGAGGGGGUGGGAUGGGGGUGUGGGUGUAUUGUACUGUAUGAAAUGUGUUCUCUGUCCGCCUGCUCAAAAUAACUCUGCAGUGAGGGAGGCAGACUGAAACUACAGGCUUUGUCUUUCAAUACAGUAAUGGUCUGGUCCAGCC